AGCAGCGCAGCUCAGUGGAAAGAGCCUGGGCUUUGAAGUCAGAGAUCAUGGGUUCGACUCCCGGCUCUGCCA
rfam:Ornithorhynchus anatinus chromosome 5, whole genome shotgun sequence.